GCGUUGUAUGAAAGGAGAGAAGGUUAGCACUCCCCUGGACAAGGGUUGAAAUGGCCCCUGUGGCCUGCAACACAUACUGUAUACGGUAAAGGCAUUGCCACCUAAUUCGUGGCAUCUCUAACUAAGUUUUUUU